AGGGGAGGAAGGAAGGUGCUGGAAAGUGUUAUGAGGGGGAGUGCUGCCAGCCUCAACAGCACUAAAGGGUGUGGCUGCUGAGAAGGGGAGGAAGGAAGGUGCUGGGAGGUGUUAUGAGGGGGAGUGCUGCCAGCCUCAACAGCACUAAAGGGUGUGGCUGCUGAGAAGGGAAGGAAGGAAGGUGCUGGGAGGUGUUAUGAGGGGGAGUGCUGCCAGCCUCAACAGCACUAAAGGGUGUGGCUGCUGAGAAGGGGAGGAAGGAAGGUGCUGGGAGGUGUUAUGAGGGGGAGUGCUGCCAGCCUCAACAGCACUAAAGGGUGUGGCUGCUGAGAAGGGAAGGAAGGAAGGUGCUGGGAGGUGUUAUGAGGGGGAGUGCUGCCAGCCUCAACAGCACUAAAGGGUGUGGCUGCUGAGAAGGGAAGGAAGGAAGGUGCUGGGAGGUGUUAUGAGGGGGAGUGCUGCCAGCCUCAACAGCACUAAAGGGUGUGGCUGCUGAGAAGGGAAGGAAGGAAGGUGCUGGGAGGUGUUAUGAGGGGGAGUGCUGCCAGCCUCAACAGCACUAAAGGGUGUGGCUGCUGAGAAGGGAAGGAAGGAAGGUGCAGGGAGGUGUUAUGAGGGGGAGUGCUGCCAGCCUCAACAUCACUAAAGGGUGUGGCUGCUGAGAAGGGAAGGAAGGAAGGUGCUGGGAGGUGUUAUGAGGGGGAGUGCUGCCAGCCUCAACAGCACUAAAGGGUGUGGCUGCUGAGAAGGGAAGGAAGGAAGGUGCUGGGAGGUGUUAUGAGGAGUGCUAACAUAAGAAGAACAUAAGAACACAGGGAGACUGCAAGAGGCCGAGUGGCCUACACAGGGCAGCUCCAGAAUCCCCCCACUACUCACGAUGGGUGAGGAGGUGUAGUUUCAGGAGUUACAGGUAGAGGCUUGAUCCUCGUCUACCUUCGGUACGGGCGUACGCUCCAGUACCCUGUCACCUUACUGCACCCACACCUCACUGCCACCUGUCAUCCUCGUCCAUGUAGCUAUCCAGUCUACUCUUAAAACAAGCUAUCGUCCCUGCACUAACUAUGUGAUUGCUGAGUCUAUUCCAUUCCCCCACCACCCUAUUACUAAACCAAUGCUUGAUAAUUCAUUCAUUCAUUCA